GGAAUGAUUGGGCGUAAAGGGCCGCACGUGGCAUUGUAAGUCUGCUGUUAAAGAGUUUGGCUCAACCAAAUAAGAGCAGUGGAAACUACAAAGCUAGAGUGUGGUCGGGGCAGAGGGAAUUCCUGGUGUAGCGGUGAAAUGCGUAGAUAUCAGGAAGAACACCAGUGGCGAAGGCGCUCUGCUAGGCCGAGACUGACACUGAGGGACGAAAGCUAGGGGAGCGAAUGGGAUUAGAUACCCCAGUAGUCCUAGCCGUAAACGAUGGAUACUAGGCGUAGCUCGUAUCGACCCGAGCUGUGCCGGAGCUAACGCGUUAAGUAUCCCGCCUGGGGAGUACGCAGGCAACUGUGAAACUCAAAGGAAUUGACGGGGGCCCGCACAAGCGGUGGAGUAUGUGGUUUAAUUCGAUGCAACGCGAAGAACCUUACCAAGGCUUGACAUGUCACGAAUCCUAUUGAAAGAUGGGAGUGCCUUCGGGAGCGUGAACACAGGUGGUGCAUGGCUGUCGUCAGCUCGGUGUCGUGAGAUGUUGGGUUAAGUCCCGCAACGAGCGCCAACCCUCGUUUUUAGUUGCCAGCAU
rnacentral:rRNA from 1 species